rnacentral:rRNA from 1 species
UUGAACGCUGGCGGCAUGCCUUACACAUGCAAGUCGAACGGUAAAGGGGCAACCCUUGAGAGUGGCGAACGGGUGAGUAAUGCAUCGGAACGUGCCCAGUCGUGGGGGAUAACGCAGCGAAAGCUGUGCUAAUACCGCAUGUGAUCUGUGGAUGAAAGCAGGGGACCGCAAGGCCUUGUGCGAUUGGAGCGGCCGAUGUCAGAUUAGCUAGUUGGUAGGGUAAAAGCCUACCAAGGCGACGAUCUGUAGCUG